rnacentral:rRNA from 1 species
GUGGGGAAUCUUGCGCAAUGGGCGAAAGCCUGACGCAGCCAUGCCGCGUGAAUGAUGAAGGUCUUAGGAUUGUAAAAUUCUUUCACCGGGGACGAUAAUGACGGUACCCGGAGAAGAAGCUCCGGCUAACUUCGUGCCAGCAGCCGCGGUAAUACGAAGGGGGCUAGCGUUGCUCGGAAUUACUGGGCGUAAAGGGCGCGUAGGCGGACAGCUUAGUCAGAGGUGAAAGCCCAGGGCUCAACCUUGGAAUUGCCUUUGAUACUGGCUAUCUUGAGUAUGGAAGAGGUAUGUGGAACUCCGAGUGUAGAGGUGAAAUUCGUAGAUAUUCGGAAGAACACCAGUGGCGAAGGCGACAUACUGGUCCAUUACUGACGCUGAGGCUCGAAAGCGUGGGGAGCAAACAGGAUUAGAAACCCUUGUAGUCCU